UACGAAGGGGGCUAGCGUUGUUCGGAAUUACUGGGCGUAAAGCGUGCGCAGGCGGCCAUUCAAGUCAGGGGUGAAAGCCCAGAGCUCAACUCUGGAACUGCCUUUGAGACUGUGUGGCUAGAGUGCGGGAGAGGUGAGUGGAAUUCCCAGUGUAGAGGUGAAAUUCGUAGAUAUUGGGAAGAACACCAGUGGCGAAGGCGGCUCUCUGGUCCGAUACUGACGCUGAGGUGCGAAAGCGUGGGGAGCAAACAGG
rnacentral:rRNA from 1 species